rnacentral:snoRNA from 1 species
GUCUUCUCAUUGAGCUCCUUUCUGUCUGUUGGUGGCAGUUUAUGGAUUCACACAAGAAGAGACAAUCUACAGAAUUAACAUCAUUUUACCUUCUGUCUUUACAGAGGUAUACUUGGCAGUUUUGUAAGACAUUC